UUGUAAAUUUUCACCACAAGGCUGAGCGCCGACAGUCCCUUUUAUGCCGAACACAGCUGGGARCAAGACAAAAACAUUAAGAAAGGGAAGAUCCAGUUUGGCCGCUGUUACCCUGGUCUGUCAGAAGGAGCUUUAAACUUCAUGAAGAACAGCCUGAAUAAUAAAUCCUGGGGGAGGCCAACGGCGGCCGAGUGUCUCCAGAACCCGUGGCUGCGCGCCCAUCGGGCUCCGCACAAAGUCCGACCCUCCAAAGUGUGCUUCUCCACUGACAAGCUGAGAGAUUUCCUCAAGCAGAAAGAGGAGAAACGAGAUCAGGUGUGCACAAAACAUCAGGGGCCGUUCUUCCAGUGAGGUAAAACAAAACAAACAAACACAAAACCUCUUCAACGUUGUAAACAAAAAAAAAAAAAAACCUCACUGCAAUUGUAUUUUUUCUGGUGUGACUUUUCUUCUGUUAAACAAAACCAAAGUUAGUUUCAUAAAAUGAAAUAUCCUGACUUUGAACGCGUCUUAAUGAGUCUCAGUUUGUGAAAUCUUUUCGAUUUGGUUUUGAUGGAAACAUUUCAGGGAUUAGUUAGGACUUCACAUUGAUGCAUGAGUUGACAGGUUCUGGUUGCUCUCAAAGUGAUUUACUGCCUUCAUCUGCUGAAACGUUACACAGACUCACGUUUGAUCUUACAUAUAAUAUCUGUUUUUUGUGUGUUUUAAGGAAACUACCRAAAAUUUCAGAAAUGUAUUCCAAACUUUAUUACUCAUAAGUUUGCAAUGAAUAAAUAGAACAGCGUGUGUUUUGUGAAUGAUCUCCUGUCUUGAAGUKAAUKGAAAAAAAAUAAAAAUGACACUWGAUGUG